rnacentral:lncRNA from 1 species
AUAAAUACAAGAAAAGAAAAAAGAAAAAAAGAAGAAAACCUAAUCAACUUAAAAUAAGGGCAAAAGACUAUGUGAAACAAAAGAAAGAAAAGGAAAUUGAGGGAAAGGGAAAGAAACAUUGUUGCUGCAGCAGAAGGAAAAAAAAAAAGCAGAGAAGGGAAAAAGGAAGAAUAAGAUGAUGAAGAAGAAGAAAGAGGUUGGAACCAAACUUUGAAAAAUAGGUAAAGUAAUAUUCUUAUAUUUUGUUUUACUAAUAUGAGAGUAUAUAAAUUAAAUAAUUUAAGUUAUAUAGUGAGAUUGACUAAUAUAAUUAGAAACAAUAAAGCAUUAAGUAAUGCUUUUCUUAACUUAUAACUUUGUGAAAGAAUCAUGGGUACCUGUAGAAUACUUUGUAAUGAAGAUUUUUUUUUAAAAAUAAAUCAAAUUCUUUAUAUCUUUGUAUGUAGUAAUAUGAAUUAAAUGUGGUAACAUACGUAGAAAUAAAGACAAUUGUUGAAGUCAUUCUUUUUAAUUCAAAGGAUAAACUUUUUUACUUCACUUGUUUAAGUUAUCUUCUACGUGUAUAUAAUUUUGUUAGGUAAGAAAGAAAGUAUUAUCGAUAGUGAUCCUAUAUGAUUUAGAUAUAUGCACAUAAUUGGCAUAACUUGGGUAAAAGAAAAUUGAAAUAAAUAAAUAAAUAUACAAGUAAGUUGAAAUUGAUAGAUUAUAGACUAGUUAAAUUACCCAUAUCAUGGAUAUUAUAAUUUAGCAAAUUGAUGGUGUAACAUAAAAUGUUUUUGAUUUGGAAUCUAAAUUUAGCUAUGAAUUAGCUUAAACAAAGAUCAUAGCAUGGAUACUAUAAUUUAGCAAAUUGAUGGUAUAACAUAAAACACUGAGGAUUUGGAAUCUAAAUUUUAGCUAUGAAUUACCUGAAACAAAGAAAUUAACACAAGAUCCAUAUUGAUGUGAUUAUAGAUUGAUUGAAGAAAGCCAUACAGAUCGCUCGAGGCGACGGGUUUGGUAUUUCUAUACGAGUACUGUGAGUAGUAAUCUUACUAUAAUUUGUGUUUUUAUAACCUGCAUGAUUUAUAUAUGAUUUUGAAAAUAAAUGUGUUAACGAUGUUUUAAAAUUGCAUGUAGGACAAGUCCUUUACUUGAUAUGGUACCAAACAAUUUACUUGAGAUGUUACAGUUAUUUGAAUUAUUCUCACUGUUACUAGAACCGUUUUACUGUUAACUGAGACAUGAUUACUAUCACCGAAAUAAAAUUACAAGAUUUAAUAAGAAACGGUAUUCCCUUUAUUAUUUUGAAAAUGCUUUUGUACGAGUAUCUACUAUUUACAAGAAAGAGUAUAAAUGAGAGGAGACUUUGAAGGAUCUCGUAGCUAACGGCGAGUUCAUUACACCUGGUACACCAUAUAUAUUUACUGAUGACAGAGUAUUUUGAAGGAUCUCGUUGCUAAUAGCGGGUUCGUUAGACCUGGUGCACCUUGUAUUUACCGAUUACAAAGUACAAUUAUAGCCCUCGCUAGUGGGAAUGUAUAACUAGCAUAGCGUCACCGAUUUCCCUCGAGUAGGGACAACCGUUAUAUUUGACUUCUUGCGAAGAAGUCCACAGUUAUACCGAUAACAUGAUCUGUUCAUUGAAACAUCCCAAAAUGUGAAUACUGAUAUUAUACAGUGGUUAUCGAGCUUAUUACUGAAUUGUUAAUUAUAUUUUACUACAAGAAAAGAGUGAUGAGACUGAAAAUUACUUAUUGUUUCUGAAAGGGCAUUUUAUGUUGUUUUCUGUUUGAUAUACUAGCAUGUUUUCUGACUUAUCCCCAAAUUUAAAACGGUUGUGGUUAAGUGUUAUUACCCACGUAACUAACGACUCAUUCCCCGCAAAAGUUUUUACAGAGACAACAGUUGACACAUACGAGGAUUUCAUUAAUUAGAGCGCACAGGUUGAGAAUUCUUGAUGAGCCUCAUACUUGUUCGCGUGGGCGGAGAUUUUUAUCAAUUGUUAUGAUCUUUUCUUUGAAUUUUAGAGUCGCUCCAUAGCCAUUAUUUUAGUGUCAUGAGUAUUAUUUUGCUAUUAGUCCUAUGUCGAAUAUCAUUCUUUAUUAUCAAGUCAGAGAUAAAUUAGUAUUUCUGGUUGUUAGUGGGUUGAUUAGUAAUGGUGAAAACCAUGUUGGUUAAUUGAUAAGUUGUCGAUUGUUUGAAUUGCUAUAAGGAUGUUAGAUGCUGAUUUGAGACAGGAAAUUUUUUUUGGGAUAGUCCAAAAAUAGGGGAAAUUCUGUCCGAUUUUUUGUAAAAUACCGAUGAGGCAUACUUGGGAGCACUUGCUCCUAAGCGCCGGUCACUAUCCUGAAUUGGGUCGCGACAAAGUUGGUAUCAGAGCCCUAGGUUAUUCGUGUGACUAAUGGAGCACACGUCGGUUGUAGAAUCUCAAUUAUGGCUAUGUAGCCGGCCAUUCCCAUAAUCGUGAUUCUGCGAGGGCGUGAUAGGAUGUGUCUUGUAUUUCUUUCUUAUUCUUCCUUACGUGUGUGGCGAUUCGGGUCAAAUAACUGAAUCUAUCAUUACUUAUCCUAUUCGUGUAUUUCUCGGACCAAUUACCCUAUAAUAGAAUUUGCUUAGUGGUUCAAACUUCAACGACGUCAAAUUUUGGCAAUUGACAUUCAGCCAUGUCCAAGCAAAGAAAUGCUACAUAAAUAGUAUACAAGACUUGUGAAAAGUUCAUUGUGCCACAUGAGGUAUUUUUCGAUAAGAUGCUUAAUAGAGUUCAUUUCAGAAAUUUAUAUUAGUCCACCACUACAACAAUAGAGGAGUGCUUUCACAAAAAAAGUACUUACAUCCAUGAAAAAAAUUAAAAAUUUGAGAUCUUUAUGAAGUAAGAGAUAAACAUGAGAAGAAUAAGCAACAUAAGGGGCUCUAAAGUCCUCAUGCACCUAGAAGAUUAUUGGGACCAACAUAAUAUUCUUAAUAAAGUUCCUAAAGUUGAAACUACUAAGUUUACUAUUUCUGAUAGUUCAAAGGAUUCUUAAUGGUUUUAGUAAAAGAUUUACCAUUGUAUGAGCUAUAAGAUAUUUCAUGAAGAGAUCUAUGGAAUAGGCAAUUUUUAGACUAGUUUGUAAAAUACUUACCAUGUUAUGAGACAUAGGAUAUUUCAUGAAGAGGUCUAUGGAACUGUCACGACCCAAACCCCGAUCGUGAUGGCGCCCAACACCUUGUUAGGAAAGCCCGACCAUUUAAAAAAUUUCAGCUAAAUCAUUUACUUAAAUACUAAAAUUAGCAUAAAAUUCUCAGUUUAAUAUUGAAAAAAAACACUGCGAAAUCUAUAAUGUUAAAAUAACAAUAGCCCAAAAGGAAUCGGCGUCACAAGUCUGAGCCUCUAAUUAUAGCUGAACAGUACUUUAAACAAGAAAGUGUAGAUACGGAAAUAAAGAUAGAUAAGAGGAGAGAUCAGGUCCUGCGGACGCCAACAGCUACUUUGACAACUCCGGUACAGAACUAAAAAGCAACAGCAAAUCGCAACUGCGCCUUCGGGAUCCCUGUAUCAGCACACAAGGUGCUGAGAGUAGAGUGACUACUUCCAACUCAGUGAGUAAUAGCAAUAAAUAACAACUGAGUGUAAGAAAUCCGGUAAAAACACUAUACACUUCUAUUUUCAGCAGUAAAGACAGUAGAUAAAUACCAAACAGGGAAAAGAAUCUGAUAAAUACUUUUCUUUUCGUCCGACUAGUUACUAACACUGCUGCGACGCGCAACCCGAUCCAAUACCAUAUAUAUAUAUAUAUAUAUAUAUAUAUACUAUUGCGGCGCGCAACCCGAUCCAAUAUAAUAUAUAAAAUACUGCGGCACGCAACCCGAUCCAAUAAAUAUAGUCGACUAUGCUCACUGGGGGUGUGUACAGCCCUUCCGCCCAAGCGCUAAAAUACUGCGGCGUACAGUCUGAUCCAUAUAUCACUCCGGAGUGCAGUCCGAUCCAUAUAAUAUAUCACUGCGACGUGCAGUCAUAUCCAUAUAAUAUACUACUACGGCGUGCAGUCCGAUCCAAUACAUGUAUAUGUAUAUACUGCUGCGGCGUGCAGCCCAACCCGAUGUAUAUAUAUCAAAUAGCCUCACUACGGGGUCCUUGACCCCUCUCAGUCAAUAUAGACUUGGCCUCUCGGGCGCACUCUGCUAAGACAGGUAUUCAACCCUAGGUAUUGCUCAUUUAGGGUGCAAGUUACAAAGUCAGAUUUAUUUCAUGAUUUACAGUCAAAAGUCAGGACAGAUGGUAUGUUUCCAAUUAGUAAAGUGAGGUCAAUCAGCUCAACAAGCUCCCUCGGAGUUUUACAGAUCGGCACAAGGCCCCAAACAUGGAAACUAGACCAAAUUAUACGAGUACAAGCUCAGUCUCAUUCAAGAAGUACAAUAAGUCAUCAAUCGAGAUGGACCAAGUCCGAGUCCCCAGCAGAUACACCACCACGCUCUUCACAAGACGUGUGUCUCAUCUUAACAUAGUGCCGCAUAAUGGAAAUACGGGGUUUCAAAUCCUCAGUACAUCAUCAUAACCAUUACUCACCUCAAACCGGCCAAAAUCCUAGCUCGCCUUGCGCUUUCUUCGCAAAUCGACCUCCUCGGGUGCAUAAUCUGACCAAAACCACAAGGAAUAGGUUAUAAUAGGCUAAUGGGACAUAACCCAAUAUAAAGAACUCGAAAAAUACCAAAAAUACAAAGUUGGAAAAACCCGAGUCCCGGGACCACUUCUCAAAAAAUUAUGAAAUUUACAUCAAUAGAAUCCUCGUCUUACCACCAAUCCGACAUAUAAAGUUCAUCAAAAUCGGAGUUCAAAUGGGCCACCAAAUUACAUAGUAAAAACUAAGCCCUAAUUUCUUCAAUUUCAUGCCCAAAUUCAGAGAAUUAAUGGAUGAUUCUUCGAUUAAAUGACGUAUCUAGGCCACAAGACUUACCUCCAAUCACUUCCCGUCGAAAUUCCCUUCAAAAUCUACCAAUAAGCUAUCAAGGUGGUGCAAAAAUGGUGGAAAAAUGAGCCCAAGUCGCGGAUGAAAUGAUUCCCGUCGAAAUCCCCUUCAAAAUCUACAACAAGCUCUCAAGGUGGUGCAAAAAUGGAGAAAAUAAUAAUGGGUUCGCGACUGAAAUUUCAUUAAAAGCCCUCUGCCCAGCUAAAUUUCCUUUUACGCGAUCGCGUACUGCCAGACGUGAUCGCGAUGCUUAAAUUUCCCCGUGCUACGUGAUAGCGACCCCCACGACCGCGAACACGAUGAACAAACUUGGCUGGCCCCCCAGAUUCUUCUAUGCGAACGCAAUCUACUCCACGUGUCCGCGAUGCUUCAGAUGCCACACCUACAUGAUCGUGACUCAACUCAAGCGAACGUGAAGCACCCAGCACUCAACCCUACGCGAUGCAACCCAAGUCAUGUGAUUGCGAUAGCUAAAUCCCUGCUGCACUGCUGCUGCAAUUUCUGCAGAUUUUCUUAAGUCCAAACUUCCCAAAAAUCAUCCGAAAUCACCCCGAGGUCCCCCGGAACCCCAACCAAAAAUACCAACAAACUCCAAAUCAUCAUACAAACUUGUUCCAAUCAUAAAAACAUGACCAACAACACAAAAACUAUCAAUUCACGACGGAUUCAAGCCUAAGUUUCAACUAUAGCUUCUAAAACUAACAUUCGAUCAAAAACCCGACCAAACGACGUCCGAAUAUCCUAAAAAUUUGCAGAUAUAUCCAAAAUCACCUAACGAAGCUACUGCAACUCUCAAAAUUCCAUUCCGACUCCCGGAUCAAAAUCUCACCUAUCAACCGGAAUUCGCCAAAAUUCAAACUUAGCCAAUUCAAGCCUAGUUCUACACCAGACCUCCAAAUUCAGCUUCAUUUUUACUCCCAAGUCAUAAAUCACCACCCGAAACUAGACGAAUCGUCGGAAAUUCAUUCCGAGCCCUAUAACUCAUAAGUUAACAUCCAGUUGACUUUUUCCAAACUAGCCUCCUCUUAAAGAGACUAAUUGUCUCAAUUCCAACCAAACUCUGUCCGAAUCACUUCAAACUCUNNNNNNNNNNNNNNNNNNNNNNNNNNNNNNNNNNNNNNNNNNNNNNNNNNNNNNNNNNNNNNNNNNNNNNNNNNNNNNNNNNNNNNNNNNNNCACAUAUAGAAGCAUAAAACGGGGAAAACGAGACGGUAACUCACAUGACGACGGGCCGGGUCGUCACAUCCUCCCCAACUAAAACAAACACUCGUCCUCAAGCGGGUCAAAAAACAUACCUGGAGCCCCAAAAAAAUAAGGAUAGGAUAUCUUCUCCGCAUCUCCUGCUCGGUCUCCUAAGUGGCCUCCUCCACGGGCCGACCUCUCCACUGCACCNNNNNNNNNNNNNNNNNNNNNNNNNNNNNNNNNNNNNNNNNNNNNNNNNNNNNNNNNNNNNNNNNNNNNNNNNNNNNNNNNNNNNNNNNNNNNNNNNNNNNNNNNNNNNNNNNNNNNNNNNNNNNNNNNNNNNNNNNNNNNNNNNNNNNNNNNNNNNNNNNNNNNNNNNNNNNNNNNNNNNNNNNNCUUUCGAACCUGUCGACCCAAAAUAGCCACUGGCUCCACAUCAUAGGUCAAGUCCUCAUCCAAAUGGAUCAUGAUGAAGUCUAAUACAUGAGAAGGUUCCCCGACAUACUUCCUAAGCAUAGAAACACGGAACACCGGGUGAACCCCCAACAAGCUGGGUGGCAAAGCAAGCAUAUAGUCCACCUCCCCAAUUAUCCUAAGUACCUCAAAUGGUCCAAUAAACCGCGGACUCAUGUUAUCUUUUUUUCCAAACCUCAUCAUGCCUUUCAUUGGAGACAUAUUCAACAAAAUCUUCUCGCCCACCUUAUAAGAUACAUCCCGAACCUUCCGGUCCGCAUAAAUCUUCCGACGCUACUAAGCCGUACAAAGUUUAUCCUGGAUAACUUUCACUUUCUCUAAGGCAUCCUUAACUAACUCUGUCCCCAAUAGUCUAGCCUCGCCGGGCUCAAACCAGCCAAUUGGAGAUCUACACCGUCUCCCAUAUAAAGCCUCAUACAUCGCCAUCUGAAUGUUGGACUGAUAACUAUUGUUAUAAGCAAACUCUGCAAGUGGCAAGUACUCAAACCAAGAAGCUCUAAAAUCAAUAACACAGGCACGCAACAUGUCCUCAAAUAUCUGGAUAGCACGCUCGGACUGCCCGUCCGUCUGAGGAUGAAAAGCCGUGCUCAUCUGUAUCUUAGUGCCCAACUCCUGAUGAAAAGUCCUCCAGAACUGGGAAGAAAACUGAGGACCCCUGUCUGAGACUAUAGAGACUGGAACCCCAUGCAACCGCAUAAUCUCACAGAUGAAAAUCUCUGCUAACCGCUCUGAAGAAUAGGUGGUACACAUCGGAAUGAAAUGCUCAGACUUGGUCAGCCUAUCCAUAAUCACCCAAAUAGAAUCAAAGUUCCUCGAGGUACGAGGGAGACCACUCUCAAAGUCCAUAGUAAUCUUCUCUCAUUUCCACUCCGAAAUAUCCAUCUUCUGAAGUACACCACCGGGUCUCAGAUAUUCAUACUUGACCCGCUGACAAUUGAGACAUCUAGCCACAUAACUCACAAUGUCCUUUUUCGUUCUCCUCCACCAGCUAGUGAUAGCCUAAACGGAGAUCAAUCUUAGAGAAUACCUUUGCCCACUGAAGCUGGUCAAACAAAUCCUCUAUACGGAUAGUGGAUACUUGUUCUUCAAUGUCACUUUGUUCAACUGUCUGUAAUCAAUGCACAUUCUCAUUAUGCCAUCCUUUAUUCUUUACAAACAACACCGGUGCGCCUUAAGACGACACACUCAGGCGAAUGAACCCCUUAUUUAGGAGUUCCUGCUCCUUCAACUCCUUUAACUCUGCUGGUGCCAUACGAUAAGGAGGAAUAGAGAUGGGCUGAGUGCCCAGCACCAAAUCAAUACCGAAGUCAAUAUCCCUUUCCGGUAGCAUGCCCGAUAGGUAUGCUGGAAAUAUAUCAGGGAAUUCCCUCACCAUGGGGACCGAAUCAAGACUAGGAGCCUCAAUACAGUAUCCCUAUUCGGCGGCAUGCCCGACAGGUCUGCUGGAAAGACAUCAGGAAAUUCCCUCACCACGGGAACCGAAUCAAGACUAGGAGCCUCAGCCCCAACAUCCCUCACAAAUGCUAGAUAUGAUACAAAUCCAUCCCAACCAUCUGCUAGGCCUUUAAGAAGGAGAUUACCCUGCUGGGUACAUAAUCAGUCGUACCACGCCACACGAUCAUCGGGAUACCCGGCAUAGCCAAUGUGACUAUCUUGGCGUGACAGUCUAGAAUAGCAUGGCACGGUGAUAGCCAAUCCAUGCCCGGAAUAACUUCAAUAUCUACCAUGCUCAAUAACAACAAGUCAACUCGGGUCUCCAUACCCCCAAUAGUAACAAGAUAGGGCCGAUACACGUGGUCCAUAAUAAUAGUAUGACCCACAAGGUAGAUACGUGCACAGGUAAAGCAAGACACCCUCGGUAGUCCCCAAAUGAUGAGCAAAGUAAGAAGAUACAUAAGAAUAUUUGGAUCCGGGAUCAAAUAAAACUGAGGAAUCCUUGUGGCAGACUGAAAUAAUAUCUGUAAUAAUAGCAUACGAAGCAGCAACAUCUGACUUGCCCUGAAGAGUGUAGCAAUGGGCCCGACAACCACCGGAUCGGCCUCCCCCUCUGGGGCGACCCCUGACUACCUGGCCCUCACCCCUACCUGAUCGGGCGGGUGCUGAAGACCCUGUGCCAGAAGAUGAGGGCUGACCCCUUUGCUGAGAUGAACUGGAAGAACGACGGGGACACUCCCCUCCAUAUAUGCCCAAACUCGCCACACUAAUGACAACUCCCUGGCACUGGGGGCUGGGACUGACGGGAACCCCUUGCACCAGUGUGGCUGGCUGAAGAACUCGGCCGAGAUGAACCCUGAACAGAUGGGGCAUGAGACAAACUCUGAGUUGGAAGUGCGUUCAGAGAUGGUUGACCCUACUGGGAGCCCUGAUAACUCCGACCAGAAGAUGAACCACAGUACUCUGACCGAGCUGGUUGUGGAUCCCUCAAAGAAUGACCUCUGCUCUACUGAAACUGGCCCCUAGACGGAGCACUACUGGAGCCACCUGAUCCUCAAGGCCUAUUGGUCUCCCUCUCCUCUCUCUCCUGACGGUGAUCCAUCUCAAUAUCACGGGCUAUAUCCACCGCCUCCUCAAAGGUGUGACUCAGGACCCUCUCACGAGUCAUCAGAAUACGAAUGGGAUAAUUAAGCCCAUCCACAAAUCAUCUGAUCCUCUCCUGGUCCGUCUGAACCAUCCACGGAGCAUAACGAGGUAACUCUGCAAAUAUCACCUCAUACUGCAUCACAUACAUAUCCUCCUGACGAAGCUACUCAAACUGCCUGCGUAAAUCCUCCUUCUGCAACCGAGGCACCCACUUCUCGAGAAAUAUAGUGGAGAACUCUUGCCAAGACAAUGGCGCUGCACCUGCCGGCCUAGGCCGCUCAUAAGCCUCCCACAAGGUAAAGGCUGCUCUUGAGAACUGAAAAGUGGUAAAAGAUACCCCACUAGUCUACAAGAUCCCUGCUGUCCUAAGCAUGCGUCGACACUUAUCCAGAAAAUCCUGGGCAUCCUCGAUCGGAACACCGCUAAAAAUAGGAGGUGAAAGCCUGUUGAACCUCUCCAGAUGACGCUGCUCGUCAUCUGGAAUCACUGGCACCCCAUCACCCUGAACUGGAACAACUGGCUGAACAGGGGCAACUGGCUGAACUGGUGGUGGCUCUGGGGUCUACAACCCUGUGCACUCUGCUCUGGAGUGCGAGCUUUGGGGGUCUGAUGACCACCCCCGGUCGGGAUGUAGUUGCGGUAGUAGCAGAGACUGCCUGGGCCAAGCCAGUGCCAACCGAUAAUAUUUGAGCCAGGGACUCUUGAAGACCCAGAAUCACAAUAGGCACUGCUGGUGCCUGAGAAGGUGCUGCUGGAACCUCUAUAGCCGGAGGCUGAUCCUGAAUAAGGGCAACUGGUGGGUCAACUGGUGCUGCCCUUGCCUCAUCCUAUAAUGGGUGGCAAUGCUGGUCGUCCGCCACGCCCGGUAGCACACGUUCUUUCCAUCUGCGGGAGAAUAGAAUAUAGAAGUUUAAUUCUCGGAUCAACAAAGUCCUACAACAAUAAAUUCAAGAAUAUGAAGUUUUUCCUAAAGGUUUUGCAGCCUCUCGAAGAUAAGUACAUACGUCUCCGUACCGAUCCGCGAGACUCUGCUGAAUCGGCUUAUUACUCGCGAGGCCUGGUAACCUAGGCUCAGAUACCAACUGAUCACGACCCAAACCCCGGGCGUAAUGGUGCCCAACACCUUGUUAGACAAGCCCGACCAUUUGGACCUUUUUCAUGCAAAUCAUUUACUUAAAUCAUAAAAUUUUCAGUUUGAUAUUGAUAAAACAUUGUGGAAUCCAUAAUGUGAAAAUAAAAACAACCCAAAAGGAAUCGGCAUCACAAGUCUGAGCCUCUAAUUACAGCUGAACAGUACUUUAAAUAAGAAAGUCUAGAUAUGGAAACAAAGAUAGAUAAGAGGAGAGAUCAGGUCCUACGGACGCCAGUAGCUACCUUGACAACUCCGGUACAAAACUGAAAAGCAACAACAAAAAACAACUAAGCCUCCGGGAUCCUUGUAUCUGCACACAAGGUGCAGAGAGUAAAGUGAGUACUUCCAACUCAGUGAGUAAUAGCAAUAAAUAACAACUGAGUGUAAGAAAUCCGGUAAAAAUACUAUACAGUUCUAUUUUCAGCAGUAAAGAAUGUAGAUAAAUACCAAACAUGGAAAAGAAUCUGAUAAAUACUUUUCUUUCCGUCCGACCAAAUACUAACACUGCUGUGUCGCGCAUCCCAAUCCAAGAUAUAUAUAUAUAUAUACACACACACACACACACACUACUGCGGUGCACAGCCCGAUCCAAUAUAAUAUAUAAAAUGCUGCGGCGCGCACCCCGAUCCAAUAAAUAUAGUCGCCUGCGCUCACUGGGGUUUGUACAGACUCUAGGGAGGUUCCUUCAGUCCAAGCGCUAAAAUACUGCGGCGUGCAGUCCGAUCCAUAUAUCAUUGUGGCGAGCAGUCUGAUCCAUAUAAUAAAUCACUGCGGCGUGUAGUCCGAUCCAUAUAAUGUACUACUGCGGUGUGCGGUCCGAUCCAAUACAUGUAUAUGUAUAUACUGCUGCGGCGUGCAUCCUGACCCGAUGUAUAUAUAUCUAAUAACCUCACUACGGGGUCCUUAACCCCUUUCAGUCAAUAUAGACUUGGCCUCUCGGGUUCACUCCGCUUAGACAAGGUAUUCAACCCUAGGUAUUGCUCAUUUAGGGUGCAAGUUACAAAGUCCGGUUUAUUUCAUGAUUUAAAGACAAAAGUCACGACAGAUGGUAUGUGUGCAAGAGGUAAAGUGAGGUCAUCAGCUCAACAUUCUCCCUAGAAGUUCUACAGAUCGACAUAAGGCCCCAAACAUGGCGACUAGCCCAAAUUAUAUGAGUACAACAGUGAAAAUUCAGGACAGAUGGUAUGUGUCCAAUAGGUAAAGUGAGGUCAAUCAGCUCAACAACAUCCCUAGGAGUUCUACAGAUUGGCACAAGGCCCGAAACAUGGCAACUAGCCCAAAUUAUACGAGUACAAGCUCAGUCUCAUUCAAGAAGUAUAGUACAUCAUCAAUCGGGAUGGACCAAGUCCGAGUCUCUAACAGAUACAUCACCACGCUCAUCACAAGACACGUGUCUCAUCUCAACAUAGCACUGCAUAAUGCAAAUACGGGGUUUCAAACCCUCAGUACAUCAUUCAUAACCAUGACUCACCUCAAACAAGCCAAAAUCCUAGCUCGCCUUGCGCUUUCCUCACAAAUCGACCUCCUCGGGUGCAGAAUCUGACCAAAACCACAAGGAAUGUGUUAUAAUAAGCUAAUGGGACAUAACCCAAUUGAAAGAACUCGAAAAGCACCCAAAAAUAUGAAGUUUUCAAAACCCGAACCCCGGGCAUGUUAUAAUAGACUAAUGGACAUAACCCAAUAGAAUGAACUUGAAAAACACGAAGUUGGAAAAACCCGAGCUCCGGGCCACUUCUCGAAAAAUUACAAUAUUUACAUCAUAGAAAUCCUCGUCUCGCCAUGAGUCCACACAUAUAAACUUCAUCAAAAUCGGAGUUCAAAUGGGCCACCAAAUCCCCAAUUUACAUUGUAAAAACCAAGCCCUAGUUUCUUCAAUUUCAUGCCCAAAUUAAGAGAAUUAAUGGAUAAUUCCGAUUAAAUGACGUAUCAAGGCCACGAGACUUGCCUCGAAUCACUUCCCGUCGAAAUCCCCUUCAAAAUCUACCAACAAGCUCUCAAGGUGGUGCAAAAAUAGGCCUCGAGACUUACCUCCAAUCACUUCCUGUCAAAAUACCCUUUCAAAUCUACCAACAAGCUCACAAGGUGGUGCAAAAAUGGAGAAAAUAAUGAUGGGUUCGCGACUGAAAUUUCAUUAAAAGCCCUCUGCCUAGCUAAAUUUCCUUCUACGCAAUCGCGUACCGCCAGACGCGAUCGCGAUACUUAAUUUCCUGUUCUAUGCUAUCGCGACCCCCAUGACUGCGAACGCGAUGAACAAACUUAGCUGGGCCCCUAGAUUCUUCUAUGCAAACGCGACCUACUCCACGCGACUGCGAUGCUUCAGAUGCCACACCUACGCGAUCGCGACUCAACUCACGUGAACGCGAAGCAAUCAGCACCUAACCCUAUGUGAUCGCAACCCAUGUCACGCGAUCGCUAUAGCUAAAUCCCUGCUGCUCUACUGCUGCAAUUUCUGCAGAUUUUCUUAAGUCCAAACUUCCCGGAAAUCAUCCGAAAUCACCCCGAGGCCCCCCGGGACCCCAAAAAAGACACCAACAUAUCACAAAUCAUCAUACGAACUUGUUCCGAUCAUAAAAACACGACCAACAACACAAAAACUAUCAAUUCACGAGAUUCAAGCUUAUGUUUCAACUAUAACUUUCGAAACUAACAUUCGAUCAAAAACCCAACCAAACGACGUCCGAAUGUCCUGAAGAUUUGCAGACAUAUCCAAAAUCAUCUAACGAAGCUAGUGCAAUGCUCGGAAUUCCAUUCGGACUCCCGGAUGAAAAUCUCACGUAUCAACCGGAAUUCGCCGAAAUUUAAACUUAGCCAAUUCAAGCCUAAUUCUACACCAGACCUCUAAAUUCAGUUCCGUUUUCACUCCCAAGUCAUAAAUCACCACCCAAAACUAGCCGAAUCAUCGUAAUUCAAUUCCGAGCCCUAUAUCUCAUAGGUCAACAUCCGGUUGACUUUUUUCAAACUAGCCUCCUCCUAAAUAGACUAAUUGUCUCAAUUCCAACCAAACUCUGUUCGAAUCACUUCAAACUCUACAAACACAUAUAAUGAAACAUAUAGAAGCAUAAAACGGGGAAAACGGGACGGUAACUCAUGUGACGAUGGGCCGGGUCAUUACAGGAACAUGCAACUUUUAGACUAAAGAACAUGACGAAUACAUGAAAUGCUAUUGCACUCUUAAAGAUGCCAACAAGAGCAACACAAUUAAUUUGGGAAUAAAUUUCACUAAAGUGUUUAUGAACCACCUCUUUCUUGACAGUUUGUAACAUGAACUUGCAUGCUAGAUCAUUAGUUCACCUGCUAGAUCAUUUAAGAAAUUGAUUUAGACAUUGGGUAUACUUACCUAUAACACCAAACUUUCUCAUAUGGAUACACAAGCAAUAUCAUAAGUUUGUAGGCUUGCUGAAAGGUUGGUUAAUUAUUUAAACAAAGAUAGUAACUGCAUAUAUGAAGACUUAAACCUAUUAUGUAGCAAUUGCACUUACCAGAACGUGAUAGGCGGGCAAGAACUCACAUAAGAAGUUCGAGAUUAGAAUAUCUUUUAGUAUGGAUUUUAAUAUGAGUCGAAGAUUUAAAAAUCAAGAAAGUUUUAAGAUAUUAAGCGAUCCUUUUUGGGUUUCCACACCUAUGAAAAAUUUAUAGUAGUUAGACAUGUGUUUAAAACUUUUAAGAUUCAAGUUAAGAGAAGGAAACCCUAGCUAACCAAGUUGUACUUGAUAUGGUUGACUCUAAUGUACAGAUGAGUAUGGAUUAAUUAUCUUCUUGCCAUGCUACCCUCGAUUACUAUAGAAAGACCAUUAUGUUUGGUGACUUUAAAAUGUACAAAUGAAUAUAGAUUAAUUAUAUUCCUGCAUGCUACCCUCGAUUACUAUAGAAAGACCAUUAGGUUUGGUGACUUUAAAAGCUGGUUUUGUCUAAAAAAGGGAUUAUAGGUUUUAGAGACGAGCAAAUUAUAUAUUUUGAAGACUUAGCAACUACAAAAGAAAGGUUGUUUAGAUCUCGUAGAUAUGGUAAGAGGAACAAAAGAAGAAACACUUAGUUUGAGAAAAAAAGUAUCAUAAUGAGUGAUUCUCUAAUGUAUUCCUAAGGAUUUACUAGGACUACCUCCAAUAUGAGAAAUAGACUUCGAUAUUGAGCUGACACCUGACAUGCAAACUAUGUCAUAUGGCACCAACAAAGUUGAGAGAGCUAAUUGAAUAAUUGUCAGACCUACUGGAUACAUGAUUUAUCAUACCGAGAGUUGCAACAUUAGGGUACACCAAUAUUGUUUGAAAAAAAUGAGUCUUUAAGAAUGUGGGACAAGUACAAAUAAUUAAAUAAGAUAAUAAUAUACAAAAAAUAUCCAUUAUCUUGUACAAAUAACGUGUUUGAUCAGUUACAAGGAGCCAUUGAUCUUUAGCCUGGUUAUCAUCAGCUUAAGAGUUGCACCAUUAGGGCUUGAGAUUGAAAUUCUAAAAUGGUGAUUUGAGGGGUCAAAUGGACUCUUAUUUUUGUGAAUUGGUAUGAAUAGACUCGUGGAGAGAUAAGGAUCGCACUAAUGUAAAUUUUUUUGGUUUUUGAGACGUGGGACCAGGGCUCGAGUUUUGCAAAUUUUAUGAAUUUUGAGAUUUCUCGAUUGUUUUCGAUUGAGUAUUUUUCCCUUAGAAUAUUGUGAUGUAAUCGCUUUAAUUUUGGUUAGAUUCGAUGCAUGUGGAGGACGGUUUGAGGGGCAAAGGCGUCGCGGGCUAGAGAUUUCACCGGUUCGAGGUGAGUAAUACUUGUAAAUGAUAUCCUGGGGGUUUGAAACCCCGGAUUUGCACAUCAUAGUGCUGUAUCGAGGUGAUUUUCAUGCCGGAUAUGGGCGUGGAGUAGAGCACCAUUGGGGAUUGAGACUCGAUCCGUCCCGAUUGAUGAAAUUACUACGUAUUUGACUGAAACUACUUGAUAUUAUCAUGUUUUUGACUGAUUGCCAUGUUUUGGGCUUUGUGCCGAUUAUUUGAAUCCUCUAGGGAUUUGGUAUCACUGUUUUUGCAUUACCCUUCAUAUUAUUUGAUCUCGGUCCAAAGUUUUAAAUAUUAUUUUGCAAACUCAGCCAUCUUUCUAAGAAUUGAAACUCAAAUGAUAUUCUGAAUGAUGUUUUGGGCUGAGAAAUACUGUUUUACAAAUGCCGAGGGCUUAUAAUGAUUUCUGUACUGAGCAUGGAUCAAGCUGUGCGCCGCAGUUUCUGGACUGAGCAUGGAUCGGGGUGUACGCCGCAGCAGUGUUACAUUGAUAUUGAGUCCGAGAGCCUGGUUGAUCAUACUGAUAUUGAUAUGAGGCCGAGAGCCUAGAUUUGAUACCACGAGAUGGCUUGAUAUUGAGCUUGGGUUGUAGGAGCCCCUCCGGAGUCUGUACACACCCCCAAUGAGCGCCGUCGACAAUAAAUAAAUGGAGCGGGCAGCACGCCGCAGCGGGUACUAGAGUGUACCGUCAUAUGCAUUGCAUUGCACUCAUGCAUUCGUUCUUAUUUAGUAAUGUUUUCAUGCCAUUCAACACUCAUAUCAUUGGCAUCCAUGCUACUUCUUGCACUGUUUACCAGAUACCCUGUUGUUAUUCGUUAAUGGAGUGCCGUGCCCGAGAGGCUGAUGUUGUACUUUGUGAGUUAGGAGUGAGCCCGCGCGGCUGAUACUGUACCGAGAGGUUGAUAUUGAGCCUGAGAGGCAAAUUUCUAAUUAUUCCCUACUUGUUGAAAUUAAUUUCGCAACUGUUGAAAAGGAAUAUUUUUAAAAGAGGUUUUUACUGAGCCCAGAUGUUUCUAAAGGAUUUUCACGAUUUUACUGUUCCUUCUCUGAAAGGGUUGUAUUGUUCUAUGUACAUGAUGGAGUGCCCUACGUGAUUUCUUAUUUUCAGCUAUUAUUUACUCUUAUUACCAUAGAGUUGGAAGUACUCACUUUACUCUCUGCACCUCACGUGCAGUUGCAAGUAUUAUUCGCCCGGUAGCGAGUUAUUAGCGGAUUGAAGAAUUGUUAUCGUAGUUGAGCCAAGUGACCGCUAGCGUCCGCGGCACCGGAUCUUCUCCCUUAUUUUAUAUUGUCCAUGUUAUUUUUCUGAAUUUGUUCACAUUUCGGGAUUUUUAGUUUUUUAGUGAACUCUAUAUGUAGGAAAGUUGUAAAUUAGCUUACCAAGUAGGCACGUUUCUUGCUAGUCAAAACCUCUUAUACUGAGGUAAAAUAUGCAUAGAUAUACAUGAACAGAAAAUUAUCUGACUCAAUAAAACUCUAUUUUCCAUCAGUUCUAAUAGAGGGUCACAUUCACUUUACGAUUGAAAACUUUUUCAAGAAAUAUUGAGUACACGAGUAGAUCUUAGUUCUAGUUUUAUUGCAUGCAAACACAAAGUUCGAAUGUGCUAUGCAGAUCUUGGAGGAUAUAUUGAGAGAUGGUAUUCUUGAGUUUGGAGGUAGUUGGGACGCUUAUCUACCUUUAGCUGAAUUUGCUUACAACAAUAACUUCCAGUCCAGUAGGCAGAUGACAUCGUACGAAGAAUUAUAUGAUAGAAGAUGUCAUUCUCCUAUCGAAAGGUUUGAAACUGGUGAGACUAAGUUAUUGAGACCCGACUUAGUACAAGAAGCUAUUGACAAGGUCUAAUUAAUCAGACCACGAUUGCUCAGUAUUUAAAAUAGACAAAAAUAUUAUGAGGAUAAGAGAAGAAGAGACUUAGUGUUCACAAUUGGAGAUAGAGUGUUCAUACAAGUAUCCCCUAUGAAGGGUGUGAUGCAAUUUGGAAAAGAGGUAAGUUAAGCCCGAGGUUUAUAGGUCAGUAUGAAAUAUUUGACCAAGUGGGAGUUGUGGCAUAUUGGAAAUCUACCAGUACCUGUUGAAGUGAAAUCCGCUUCAGCAUCAUCAACAGACGCAGAAGAAAUAGAAAAAAUUGGAUUUGUGGACUCGCCUCAGGAUAUUUGGAACUUCCUCCUUAGUUAUCUUAUAUUCACCCAAUGUUUCAUGCCUCCAUGCAAAAAAAAAGUAGAUCAGAUUCCUCUCAAGUGCUUAAAGCAUCUAUUAUACCACUCGAUGAGAAGUUGACUUACGAGGAGGACCCGAUGGUUAUUGUUGCUAGACAAGUCAGGAAGUUACGGUCAAAAGAAAUUUUGGUUGUUAUAGUCUUAUGGAGAAAUCACGCCAUUGAAGAAGCUACUUGGGAAGUGAAAAAUGAUAUAUGAGUCAAGUAUUCUCAUUUAUUUCGUUCUACAGGUACAUAUUUAAGUUAAAUUCGGAGACCAAAUUUUAUAAGGUGGGUAGGAUGUCAUGACCCAUAUUUAAGUUCGGAUAUGCUGGUCUUUUAACAUAACAAAAAAUAAAUACAAGAAAAGAAAAAAGAAAAAAAGAAGAAAACCUAAUCAACUUAAAAUAAUGGUAAAAGCCCAUGUGAAACAAAAGAAAGAAAAGGGAAUUGGGGGAAAGGGAAAGCAGCGCUGCUGCUGCAGCAAAAGAAAAAAAAAACACAGAAGGGAUAAAGGAAGAAAAAGAGGAAGAAGAAGAAGAAAGAGGUUUGAACCAAACUUUGGAAAAUAGGUAAUACAAUAUUCAUAUAUUUUUUUACUAAUAAGAGAGUAUAUAAAUUAAAUAAUUUAAGUUAUAUAAUGAGAUUGACUAAUAUAAUUAGAAACAAGAAAGGAUUAAGUAAUACUUUCCUUAACUUAUAGCUUUGUGAAAGAAUCAUGGGUACCUAUAGAAUACUUUGUAAUGAAGAUUUUUUUAAAAAAUAAAUCAAAUUCUUUAUUUCUUUGUAUGUAGUAAUAUGAAUUAAAUGUGGGAACAUACGUAGAAACAAAGACAAUUUGUUUAAGGUAUUCUUUUUAAUUCAAAGGAUAGACUUUUUUACUUCACUUGUUUAAGAUUAUCUUCUAGGUGUAUAUAAUUUUGUUAGGUAAGAAAGAAAGUAUUAUCGAUAGUGAUCCUAUAUGAUUUAGAUAUAUACACAUAAUUGACAUAACUUGGGUAAAAGAAAACUGAAAUAAAUAAAUAAAUAUACGAGUAAGUUGAAAUUGAUAGAUUAUAGACUAGUUAAAUUACUCGUAGCAUAGAUACUAUAAUUUAGCAAAUUGAUGGUAUAACAUGAAACACUGAGGAUUUAGAAUCUAAAGUUACCUAUGAAUUAGCUUCAACAAAGAAAUUAACACAAGAUCGAUAUUGAUGUGAUUAUAGAUUGAUUGAAGAAAGCCGUAUAGAUCGCUCAAGGUGACGAGUUUGGUAUUUCGACACGAGUACUGUGAGUAGUAAUCUUACCUUAAUUUGUAUUUUUAUAACCUGCAUGGUUUAUAUAUGAUUUUGAAAAUAAAUGUGUUAACGAUGUUUUGAAAUUGCAUGUGGGACAAGUCCUUUACUUGAUAUGGUACCAAACAGUUUACUUCAGGUGUUACAGUUUUUUUAAUUAUUCUCACUGUUACUAGAACCGUUCUACUGUUAACUAAGACAUAAUUACCGUUACCGAAAUAAAAUUACAAGAUUUGUUAAGAAAUGAUAUGCCCUUUAUUAUUUUGAAAAUGCUUUUGUACGAGUAUCUACUAUUUACAAGAAAGAGUAUAAAUGAGAGGAGACUUUGAAGGAUCUCGUAGCUAACGGCGAGUUCAUUACACCUGGUACACCAUAUAUAUUUACUGAUGACAGAGUACAGUUAUAACCCUCGCUAGUGGGAAGUUGAAACUAGCAUACCGUUACCGAUUUUCCUCGAGUAGGGACAACCGUUAUAUUUGACUUCUUGUGAAGAAGUCCACAGUUAUACCGAUUACAUGAUCCGUAGCUAACAGCGGGUUCGUUAGACCUGGUGCACCUUGUAUUUACUGAUUACAGAGUACAGGUAUAGCCCUCGCUAGUGCGAAGGUAGAACUAGCAUACCGUUACUGAUUUCCCUCGAGUAGGGACAACCGUUAUAUUUGACUUCUUGCGAAGAAGUCCACAGUUAUACCAAUUACAUGAUCCGUUCAUUGAGACCUCCCAAAAUAUGAAUACUGAUAUUAUACAGUGAUUACCGAGCUUAUUACUGAAUUGUUAAUUAUAUUUUACUACAAGAAAAACGUUGAAAAUUAUUUAUUGUUUCUAAAAGGGCAUUUUGAUAUAUAUUUUUUUUUGAGAUACUAGCACAUACAGUGGUUAGCGAUUUUAGUACUGAAUUGUUAAUUAUAUUUUACUACAAGAAAAGAGUGAUGAGACUGAAAAUUACUUAUUGUUUCUAAAAGGGCAUUUUAUGUUGUUUUCUGUUUGAUAUACUAGCAUGUUUUCUAAAUUGUCCUCAAAUUAAAAACGCUUGUGGUUAAGUGUUAUUACUCACUGAGCUAGCGACUCAUUACUCGCUAAAUUUUUUACAGAGACAACAGUUGACACAGGCGAGGAUUUCAUUAAUUAGAGC